GCGUAGCAGGACCCUCGUCUGC
rnacentral:miRNA from 1 species